UAAGCUGAAUUCUUUUUUAAGAAGCGGGGGAACCAUCAUUUGGGGUGAAUCCUUUCUUGUGAAAGGUAGGGUUACCUGGACCCGAAUCCGUCAGCUAACCUCGUAAGCUUUCCAGGG
rnacentral:sRNA from 1 species